CCUACGGGAGGCUGCAGUGAGGAAUAUUGGUCAAUGGGCGUAAGCCUGAACCAGCCAAGUCGCGUGAGGGAUGAAGGUUCUAUGGAUCGUAAACCUCUUUUAUCAGGGAAUAAAGUGCGGGACGUGUCCCGUUUUGUAUGUACCUUAUGAAUAAGGAUCGGCUAACUCCGUGCCAGCAGCCGCGGUAAUCCGGAGGUUCCGAGCGUUAUCGGGAUUUAUUGGGUUUAACGGGUGCGUAGGCGGCCUUUUAAGUCAGCGGUGAAAGUCUGUGGCUCAACCAUAGAAGUGCCGUUGAUACUGGGGGGCUGGAGUGGGGGUGAGGCAGGGGGAAUGCGUGGUGUAGCGGUGAAAUGCGUAGAUAUCAGGCAGAACCCCGAGUGCGAAGGCAGCCUGCCAAGCCGUGACUGACGCUGAGGCACGAAAGCGUGGGGAUCAAACAGGAUUAGAUACCCCUGUAGUC
rnacentral:rRNA from 1 species